rnacentral:tmRNA from 1 species
GGGUUAGUAAAGGUUUCGACAGGGAUUUUGAAGCUGGAGAAGCUAUCCGCAGGACGGUGCGUUAAACCUCAACUUAAAAUUAAACGCUAACACAGAAUUAGCAGCUGCCUAAAUGCAGCACGUCGACCCGGGUGCACCUACACAUUCGGUAAUCGGCGUCAAACUUUGUAGGAAACGACAUAGCUUAAGCUUUGCGGCUAUGGUCGUAUCAUGAAGCUACCGAUUGUUUGCAGUUGUCAAUUACCGCGGCAUGAGGGAACAGGGAUGCAGAAUCCCGGAAUAAUUGACUAUGAUAGUAGAAGGACAGGGGAUGAGUUUUUGGACGCGGGUUCGACUCCCGCCUAAUCCAUAC